UAACGACUUGUAAGGUUUAAAUGUGUUUUAUGAAUUUUUUUCAAUCUUAAUCAUCAAUUUCUUCGUCUGUUGGAACUUUUAAGAUUUUUUCUCAGUACCGUUUUUUUUUAAAGGGACAUAACACCUUUACUAACCGUGUAUGAAAUAAGCCCCGCCCCCUUCUUACCUAAUAAGGAAUAUAAAGGGACGUAACUCCACUACUAACCGUGUAUGAGAUAAGCCCCGCCUCC
rnacentral:lncRNA from 1 species